rnacentral:rRNA from 1 species
AUACGUAGGGGGCGAGCGUUGUCCGGAAUGAUUGGGCGUAAAGGGCGCGUAGGCGGCGCGGUAAGUCUGGAGUGAAAGUCCUGCUUUCAAGGUGGGAAUUGCUUUGGAUACUGCCGCGCUUGAGUGCAGGAGAGGUUAUCGGAAUUCCCGGUGUAGCGGUGAAAUGCGUAGAGAUCGGGAGGAACACCAGCGGCGAAGGCGGGUAACUGGACUGCAACUGACGCUGAGGCGCGAAAGUGUGGGGAGCAAACAGGAUUAGAUACCCUGGUAGUCCACACUGUAAACGAUGAAUGCUAGGUGUAGGGGGUAUCGACCCCUUCUGUGCCGCAGUCAACACAAUAAGCAUUCCGCCUGGGGAGUACGGCCGCAAGGUUGAAACUCAAAGGAAUUGACGGG